rnacentral:rRNA from 1 species
CUUCGGAAUCUUGAGAGCGGCGCACGGGUGCGGAACACGUGUGCAACCUACCUUUAUCAGGGGGAUAGCCUUUCGAAAGGAAGAUUAAUACCCCAUAAUAUAUUGAAUGGCAUCAUUUAAUAUUGAAAACUCCGGUGGAUAGAGAUGGGCACGCGCAAGAUUAGAUAGUUGGUGAGGUAACGGCUCACCAAGUCAAUGAUCUUUAGGGGGCCUGAGAGGGUGAUCCCCCACACUGGUACUGAGACACGGACCAGACUCCUACGGGAGGCAGCAGUGAGGAAUAUUGGACAAUGGGUGAGAGCCUGAUCCAGCCAUCCCGCGUGAAGGACGACGGCCCUAUGGGUUGUAAACUUCUUUUGUAUAGGGAUAAACCUUUCCACGUGUGGAAAGCUGAAGGUACUAUACGAAUAAGCACCGGCUAACUCCGUGCCAGCAGCCGCGGUAAUACGGAGGGUGCAAGCGUUAUCCGGAUUUAUUGGGUUUAAAGGGUCCGUAGGCGGACUCGUAAGUCAGUGGUGAAAUCUCAUAGCUUAACUAUGAAACUGCCAUUGAUACUGCGGGUCUUGAGUAAGGUAGAGGUAGCUGGAAUAAGUAGUGUAGCGGUGAAAUGCAUAGAUAUUACUUAGAACACCAAUUGCGAAAGGCAGGUUACCAUGUCUUAACUGACGCUGAUGGACGAAAGCGUGGGGAGCGAACAGGAUUAGAUACCCUGGUAGUCCACGCCGUAAACGAUGCUAACUCGUUUUUGGGUCUUCGGAUUCAGAGACUAAGCGAAAGUGAUAAGUUAGCCACCUGGGGAGUACGAACGCAAGUUUGAAACUCAAAGGAAUUGACGGGGGCCCGCACAAGCGGUGGAUUAUGUGGUUUAAUUCGAUGAUACGCGAGGAACCUUACCAAGGCUUAAAUGGGAAUUGAUCGGUUUAGAAAUAGACCUUCCUUCGGGCAAUUUUCAAGGUGCUGCAUGGUUGUCGUCAGCUCGUGCCGUGAGGUGUUAGGUUAAGUCCUGCAACGAGCGCAACCCCUGUCACUAGUUGCUAACAUUCAGUUGAGGACUCUAGUGAGACUGCCUACGCAAGUAGAGAGGAAGGUGGGGAUGACGUCAAAUCAUCACGGCCCUUACGCCUUGGGCCACACACGUAAUACAAUGGCCGGUACAGAGGGCAGCUACACAGCGAUGUGAUGCAAAUCUCGAAAGCCGGUCUCAGUUCGGAUUGGAGUCUGCAACUCGACUCUAUGAAGCUGAAUCG